CCUACGGGUGGCAGCAGUGAGGAAUAUUGGUCAAUGGGCGUAAGCCUGAACCAGCCAAGUCGCGUGAGGGAUGAAGGUUCUAUGGAUCGUAAACCUCUUUUAUAAGGGAAUAAAGUGUGGGACGUGUCCUAUCUUGUAUGUACCUUAUGAACAAGGAUCGGCUAACUCCGUGCCAGCAGCCGCGGUAAUACGGAGGAUCCGAGCGUUAUCCGGAUUUAUUGGGUUUAAAGGGUACGUAGGCGGCCUGUUAAGUCAGCGGUGAAAGUCUGUGGCUCAACCAGAGAAUUGCCGUUGAAACUGGGAGGCUUGAGUAUGUUUGAGGCGGGCGGAAUGCGUGGUGUAGCGGUGAAAUGCUUAGAUAUCACGCAGAACCCCGAUGGCGAAGGCAGCCUGCCAAGCCAUGACUGACGCUGAUGCGCGAAAGCGUGGGGAUCAAACAGGAUUAGAUACCCUGGUAGUC
rnacentral:rRNA from 1 species